rnacentral:rRNA from 1 species
CCUAGAGAGGAGGAAGGCGAUUAAGUGCCUUGGAACAGGCUGCCGUAGAGGGUGAGAGCCCCGUGAAUCGCUGGAGACCGAUCAAUUAGUGCCCGCCGAAGAGUCGAGUUGUUUGGGAAUGCAGCUCUAAGCGGGUGGUAUAUUCCAUCUAAGGCUAAAUAUUAGCGAGAGACCGAUAGCAAACAAGUACAGUGAUGGAAAGAUGAAAAGAACUUUGGAAAGAGAGUGAAAUAGUACGUGAAAUUGUUGAAAGGGAAGGGUAUUUGAUCCGACAUGGUGUUUAGCAGCGGCCCGUUCCUCGUGGAUGGGUGCACCUGGUUUA